rnacentral:rRNA from 1 species
UGCUGGAGGUAUCAGAAGUGCGAAUGCUGACAUAAGUAACGAUAAAGCGGGUGAAAAGCCCGCUCGCCGGAAGACCAAGGGUUCCUGUCCAACGUUAAUCGGGGCAGGGUGAGUCGACCCCUAAGGCGAGGCCGAAAGGCGUAGUCGAUGGGAAACAGGUUAAUAUUCCUGUACUUGGUGUUACUGCGAAGGGGGGACGGAGAAGGCUAUGUUAGCCGGGCGACGGUUGUCCCGGUUUAAGCAUGUAGGCGGAACGAUUAGGUAAAUCCGGUCGUUUAUUAACGCUGAGGUGUGAUGACGAGGCACUACGGUGCUGAAGUAACAAAUGCCCUGCUUCCAGGAAAAGCCUCUAAGCAUCAGGUAACAUCAAAUCGUACCCCAAACCGACACAGGUGGUCAGGUAGAGAAUACCAAGGCGCUUGAGAGAACUCGGGUGAAGGAACUAGGCAAAAUGGUGCCGUAACUUCGGGAGAAGGCACGCUGAUAUGUAGGUGAAGCCCCUGCGGGUGGAGCUGAAAUCAGUCGAAGAUACCAGCUGGCUGCAACUGUUUAUUAAAAACACAGCACUGUGCAAACACGAAAGUGGACGUAUACGGUGUGACGCCUGCCCGGUGCCGGAAGGUUAAUUGAUGGGGUUAGCGGCAACGCGAAGCUCUUGAUCGAAGCCCCGGUAAACGGCGGCCGUAACUAUAACGGUCCUAAGGUAGCGAAAUUCCUUGUCGGGUAAGUUCCGACCUGCACGAAUGGCGUAAUGAUGGCCAGGCUGUCUCCACCCGAGACUCAGUGAAAUUGAACUCGCUGUGAAGAUGCAGUGUACCCGCGGCAAGACGGAAAGACCCCGUGAACCUUUACUAUAGCUUGACACUGAACACUGGUCCUUGAUGUGUAGGAUAGGUGGGAGGCUUUGAAGUGUGGACGCCAGUCUGCAUGGAGCCGUCCUUGAAAUACCACCCUUUAAUGGCUGGUGUUCUAACGUAGACCCGUAAUCCGGGUUGCGGACAGUGUCUGGUGGGUAGUUUGACUGGGGCGGUCUCCUCCCAAAGAGUAACGGAGGAGCACGAAGGUUAGCUAAUCCUGGUCGGACAUCAGGAGGUUAGUGCAAUGGCAUAAGCUAGCUUGACUGCGAGAGUGACGGCUCGAGCAGGUGCGAAAGCAGGUCAUAGUGAUCCGGUGGUUCUGAAUGGAAGGGCCAUCGCUCAACGGAUAAAAGGUACUCCGGGGAUAACAGGCUGAUACCGCCCAAGAGUUCAUAUCGACGGCGGUGUUUGGCACCUCGAUGUCGGCUCAUCACAUCCUGGGGCUGAAGUAGGUCCCAAGGGUAUGGCUGUUCGCCAUUUAAAGUGGUACGCGAGCUGGGUUUAGAACGUCGUGAGACAGUUCGGUCCCUAUCUGCCGUGGGCGCUGGAGAAUUGAGGGGGGCUGCUCCUAGUACGAGAGGACCGGAGUGGACGCAUCACUGGUGUUCGGGUUGUCAUGCCAAUGGCACUGCCCGGUAGCUAAAUGCGGAAAAGAUAAGUGCUGAAAGCAUCUAAGCACGAAACUUGCCCCGAGAUGAGUUCUCCCUGA